rnacentral:rRNA from 1 species
CAGGGAAUAUUGCGCAAUGGACGGAAGUCUGACGCAGCGACGCCGCGUGGAUGAUGAAGGCCUUCGGGUUGUAAAAUCCUUUUCAGGGGGAAGAGCGAGGACGGUACCCCUGGAGUAAGCGUCGGCUAACUACGUGCCAGCAGCCGCGGUAAGACGUAGGACGCGAGCGUUAUCCGGAUUUACUGGGCGUAAAGCGUCUGUAGGCGGAAGUGUAAGUUGGACGUGAAAGCUCCGGGCUCAACUCGGAGAGGCCGUUCAAUACUGCACAACUAGAGGCCAUCAGAGGGGCGUGGAAUUUCCGGUGUAGCGGUAAAAUGCGCAGAUAUCGGAAGGAACACCAGUGGCGAAGGCGGCGCCCUGGGGUGGGCCUGACGCUAAGAGACGAAAGCUAGGGGAGCGAACAG